CAUCUAUUAAAUGGCAGGUUCCCUGGUGAUAGAGAAGGGAAUUAUACAUGCUUCGCAAAUAGAGGUACCGUGACGUUAUCAAAAUAUGAGUCCCUUAGUCCAUGUGACAGACAGAUUUUCAUUACCAAUUUGAUGAAUAGAUUUAACCAUGAUUUUCAGUUAGCCUGGUGUCCAAAGUGUUUAAAAUUGUUGAUGGACCUCCGGGUCACUUUGCCAAAUGUCAGUUUGGCGCCAUCUUUAAAAAUGGCUGCCAUUUUUUGUUUGAAAUGGUGCAAGUCAGGGAAAUCCUCAUAACUCCGCAACCGAUUCGCCUAUUGAUAUGGAAUAUGGCUCAAAAUGUUCAUAAAACAAUUCUACAUCUGUUGGUAUAUGAUACAUGUUGUUGAAUAAAUCAUUUUUUUUUCAAAAUCAA